ensembl:lncRNA
UUUUAUUUACUUAUUUAUUUUUAAUUUUAACUUUUAUUAGUACAGGUUUAAAGGGCCUUUGAAAAAUACCCAGGAUUUGGGUUUUCUUGGUUCUCUGAACCAGCACAGCUAUACUCAACUCAGUGUUGUGUUGGACAGAAUACAAGAUCGCUGACUGAGGAGGCACGGCUCAUUUUAGCUCACAGUUUGCGAGGUUCCAGUCCAUGCUUGCUGGUCCCUGUGGCUUUGGACUUGUGGUGAGACAGGACAAAAGGAGACAGAAAAGGACCAGGCUCCUCGGAGCCCCCAGGUUGCCCUCCCAGCGUCCUACUUUUAUCCAAGAGGCUCCGUCUUCUGAAGGUCCCACCGUAUGAGGUCCUCCCCGGUCAUUUUCCUCGGUGACCUUCCUACGGCAGCUACCAUGGAGCCGUGCAUGUCUAAAUUCUCGGGAAGCAGCAAUGAAAAGAACGGUGAUCUGUACUAUGCUUCCUGGAUUCCAGUCCUCUUUCAUGGUUUAAUCUUCAGUACUGCAAAAAACAAAAAGAAAAGAAGAUAGAAGAAAGAAGAAAGAAGGAGAAGGAGAAGGAGGAGGGGAAAGAAGGAGAAGGAGAAGAAGAUGGUAAAACCUCAAAACCCAAAGACAAUGCCUGGCUGGGAUAGCCCACGAUGCGCCUAUUUAGUGUUGACAGAGGAAAUCCUGCCUCAUGAGUCGGGUGCUCUCUCCUGUUGGAGGGCGCUCAGGAGCAGCCCUAGGGCCUGAGCCUCCUCUGCCCAUGCGGCGAGAAGGAAACAGCCCACUGGACACUGCCGUGAGCUGCAGUGAUGCUGAAUCAUGCAGCAUUUCCCAAAAAGUUUUCCUGGAUGCCACAGAUUAUCUCACUCUUCUUGACUGCUGUUUCUCUUCAGUAUCUGAUUUUUUAAAAAUCCCUCAUCUGCUAAUUUGCCUGUAAGGACAAUGACCCUGAAAGCAGCACUGAUGUUUGCCAGGCGCCUUCCUGAAUGUUCACAAGAAGCAACCUGUCUAAUCCUUAGCACGGACUAAGUGAUAGCACCUACACUGACACAGAUAACAGUGUAUUGUAUUUGUGCUGUUGACAUUAUCUACCUUCCCGCCUGGCCUGUCAGCUUCUCAAGAAUUGGAAGCUUAUCUCUUAUCUCUUUGGUAUCUCAGCUUCCUCCAAUGCAGUAGGAAUUCAAAGGAGUAAACUGUUGAAGAGAGCCCCUAAUUUUGCUCCUGAUCUCAUAAAGACAGGCUCUUAAAACUGAAUAUGUGUAAGUACUACGAAGGCCACCAAGUCCCGGAAAUGUCAUCAGGUCCAGAACGGAAGAUCCUAUGACGAGGAAAACGGUAAGUAUGUGGGAUCUGCUGUUUUGAGAGCUCAUCAGUGCUUCUUGUGAAACACCGGAAGCAUGCUCAGCAUUUGUGUAAAAGAGGAAGAAAAUGUUUAAAAUGUCAGACACGUUGUGACUAUUUGAAUAUUCCCUGGUGACUUCCUGCACUACAUCUCUGAAAAUUUUCUGAUUUUCAUAUAUAUUCCAGUGGUAAGUGGUAUUUCCUGUGUCAACCUAGAAAACGGGACUUGACUGCUCACACACAGCAUCAGUAGCAGCAUGAGGUACAGGAGGGGAAAGGUUCAUUAGUGCAUGGAAGCAAAUUUGAAUUUUGAUUUUAAAAUAAGCCACACACACUGAAGGAAAAUAUGUGUAUGAAAGUGUAUGAGUAUCUUAUCAUGAAUUUACCAGCCUCAAGAAUAUUUUCUUUUAAAGUUUUUAAACUCUUGCCUUUCAGAGUUAGCCAAAGGUCUUUUUUUGUCUUGAACAUUGAAGUUGUUAGAUGUUAUGUCUGAAGAGACCACUCCAAGCAGAAUCAUGAAAAUUCUAGGUGGGAAAUUUGGCUAUUUUCCCCUCUUUUGCAAUACAAGCUGUUUCCUCACAGAAUACUCAGAUAUUUUUUCCAUUGCUGAUUAAAAUUACAUGAAUGAUGAAGCCAUUGCUGGUUCCCUUGGGAGAUUAUUCCACA